rnacentral:lncRNA from 1 species
UAAUGGAUAUUCUCGCAGGUAGGUAAUUAGAAAGGUCUUUGACUUCCCUCAAAUACCAGGUGCAGACCUUGCCUCUUGGACUGAGAAACCUUUCAGUGAGUCAGAGGAACAGCCUCCAUAUUCCACUCAUGCAGCAAAGAUCAUUGAAGAGAGAAAACUCUACGACAGUGUUUACUUUCCACUCAACUUGAGAAUAUUCGUCUUUGUGCAGCGAAUGUGUCCACUUAUAGGCAAACAAGCUAAUAUUCUGGAAAAAAAAAAAAAAGGAGUUGUAUUAAUGAACCACUGUUCACACAAUAAAUUCUGUCUUUACCUUACAGAUAGGAUGUGAUUGACUUAUUGACAUUGCACUGGACACUAGAACUUAUUUGAUUUCAUUAGUGAUGGUGGAUUUUCACGGAGCCAUCCACCUUGCAUGCCUCAUUGCUGGUGACCUUAUAGGCAAUUUGAGGCACACUUGGCAGAGGGUUAGGAAUCUAAGUGCGAACUGGAAGCUUUAGUCUUGUGCAAGUGUGUUCUUGUUUUUGAGAUGAUGUAAACAGAGUCGGUGGAGAAGGCAAUGGCGCCCCACUCCAGUACUCUUGCCUGGAAAAUCCCAUGGAGGGAGGAGCCUGGUAGGCUGCAGUCCAUGGGGUCGCUAAGAGUCAGACACGACUGAGCGACUUCACUUUCACUUUUCACUUUCCUGCAUUGGAGAAGGAAAUGGCAACCCACUCCAGUGGUCUUGCCUGGAGAAUCCCAGGGACGGGGGAGCCUGGUGGGCUGCCAUCUCUGGGGACGCACAGAGUCGGACACGACUGAAGUGACUUAGCAGCAAACUGAUAACACAGCAGCGACAUCAUUGUUGCUUUUAGGAAAACCUCAUUUAACCACUUACAAAUGAAUCAGAACAAACCACACCUAACCAAAUUGUGGGAACAGAUGCUGCCUCUCAUUGAAAGCACCCAGAUAACCCUUCUAUCUUCUCCAUUUUUAAUUUCUUUCCACAUUCUUUUACUUCCAUUUUGAGAAGUGGCAAUGUUUAGAGAAGUCUUCUAAGUUUCUUUUUUGCCAUUGCCCUAAUGCUCCCUACAUAUCUGCUGCUGACUUAAAAUAAAAGCAAACGGUUUGUAGAAUGACUUACCUUG